GAUGAACGCUAGCGGCAGGCUUAACACAUGCAAGUCGAGGGGCAGCAUAAUGGAUAGCAAUAUCUAUGGUGGCGACCGGCGCACGGGUGCGUAACGCGUAUGCAACCUACCUUUAACAGGGGGAUAACACUGAGAAAUUGGUACUAAUACCCCAUAAUAUCAUAGAAGGCAUCUUUUAUGGUUGAAAAUUCCGAUGGUUAGAGAUGGGCAUGCGUUGUAUUAGCUAGUUGGUGGGGUAACGGCUCACCAAGGCGACGAUACAUAGUGGGACUGAGAGGUUAACCCCCCACACUGGUACUGAGCCACGGACCAGACUCCUACGGGAGGCAGCAGUGAGGAAUAUUGGUCAAUGGACGCAAGUCUGAACCAGCCAUGCCGCGUGCAGGAUGACGGCUCUAUGAGUUGUAAACUGCUUUUGUACGAGGGUAAACGCAGAUACGUGUAUCUGUCUGAAAGUAUCGUACGAAUAAGGAUCGGCUAACUCCGUG
rnacentral:rRNA from 1 species